GACGAACGCUGGCGGCGUGCUUAACACAUGCAAGUCGAACGGAAAGGCCCUUCGGGGUACUCGAGUGGCGAACGGGUGAGUAACACGUGGGUGAUCUGCCCUGCACUUUGGGAUAAGCCUGGGAAACUGGGUCUAAUACCGAAUAGGACCACGCGCUUCAUGGUGUGUGGUGGAAAGCUUUUGCGGUGUGGGAUGGGCCCGCGGCCUAUCAGCUUGUUGGUGGGGUAAUGGCCUACCAAGGCGACGACGGGUAGCCGGCCUGAGAGGGUGACCGGCCACACUGGGACUGAGAUACGGCCCAGACUCCUACGGGAGGCAGCAGUGGGGAAUAUUGCACAAUGGGCGCAAGCCUGAUGCAGCGACGCCGCGUGAGGGAUGACGGCCUUCGGGUUGUAAACCUCUUUCAAUAGGGACGAAGCGCAAGUGACGGUACCUAUAGAAGAAGCACCGGCCAACUACGUGCCAGCAGCCGCGGUAAUACGUAGGGUGCGAGCGUUGUCCGGAAUUACUGGGCGUAAAGAGCUCGUAGGUGGUUUGUCGCGUUGUUCGUGAAAACUCACAGCUUAACUGUGGGCGUGCGGGCGAUACGGGCAGACUAGAGUACUGCAGGGGAGACUGGAAUUCCUGGUGUAGCGGUGGAAUGCGCAGAUAUCAGGAGGAACACCGGUGGCGAAGGCGGGUCUCUGGGCAGUAACUGACGCUGAGGAGCGAAAGCGUGGGGAGCGAACAGGAUUAGAUACCCUGGUAGUCCACGCCGUAAACGGUGGGUACUAGGUGUGGGUUCCUUCCUUGGGAUCCGUGCCGUAGCUAACGCAUUAAGUACCCCGCCUGGGGAGUACGGCCGCAAGGCUAAAACUCAAAGGAAUUGACGGGGGCCCGCACAAGCGGCGGAGCAUGUGGAUUAAUUCGAUGCAACGCGAAGAACCUUACCUGGGUUUGACAUGCACAGGACGCCGGCAGAGAUGUCGGUUCCCUUGUGGCCUGUGUGCAGGUGGUGCAUGGCUGUCGUCAGCUCGUGUCGUGAGAUGUUGGGUUAAGUCCCGCAACGAGCGCAACCCUUGUCCUAUGUUGCCAGCGGGUUAUGCCGGGGACUCGUAGGAGACUGCCGGGGUCAACUCGGAGGAAGGUGGGGAUGACGUCAAGUCAUCAUGCCCCUUGUGUCCAGGGCUUCACACAUGCUACAAUGGCCGGUACAAAGGGCUGCGAUGCCGUGAGGUGGAGCGAAUCCUUUCAAAGCCGGUCUCAGUUCGGAUCGGGGUCUGCAACUCGACCCCGUGAAGUCGGAGUCGCUAGUAAUCGCAGAUCAGCAACGCUGCGGUGAAUACGUUCCCGGGCCU
rnacentral:rRNA from 1 species